CAGCCGCCGCGGGAAUACGUAGGGUGCGAGCGUUAAUCGGAAUUACUGGGCGUAAAGCGUGCGCAGGCGGUUUUGUAAGACAGGCGUGAAAUCCCCGGGCUCAACCUGGGAAUGGCGCUUGUGACUGCAAAGCUAGAGUGCGGCAGAGGGGGAUGGAAUUCCGCGUGUAGCAGUGAAAUGCGUAGAUAUGCGGAGGAACACCGAUGGCGAAGGCAAUCCCCUGGGCCUGCACUGACGCUCAUGCACGAAAGCGUGGGGAGCAAACAGGAUUAGAUACCCGCGUAGUCCCUGUCUCUUAUAC
rnacentral:rRNA from 1 species